GACGAACGCUGGCGGCGUGCUUAACACAUGCAAGUCGAACGGAAAGGCCCUGCUUUUGUGGGGUGCUCGAGUGGCGAACGGGUGAGUAACACGUGAGUAACCUGCCCUUGACUUUGGGAUAACUUCAGGAAACUGGGGCUAAUACCGGAUAGGAGCUCCUGCUGCAUGGUGGGGGUCGGAAAGUUUCGGCGGUUGGGGAUGGACUCGCGGCUUAUCAGCUUGUUGGUGGGGUAGUGGCUUACCAAGGCUUUGACGGGUAGCCGGCCUGAGAGGGUGACCGGCCACAUUGGGACUGAGAUACGGCCCAGACUCCUACGGGAGGCAGCAGUGGGGAAUAUGGCACAAUGGGCGGAAGCCUGAUGCAGCAACGCCGCGUGCGGGAUGACGGCCUUCGGGUUGUAAACCGCGUUCGCCUGUGACGAAGCGUGAGUGAAGGUAAUGGGUAAAGAAGCACCGGCUAACUACGUG
rnacentral:rRNA from 1 species